UGAUAUGACCGAGUGUUUGUUAGAAA
rnacentral:miRNA from 1 species